GACACGGUGGUGGAGUGGUACCACACUUGUUAAAACUUUAUUGUGUCGACCCAAAUAUGCAAGGGAUCCCUGUUCAAUUCAGGGCUGGGUCA